AUCCAAGAGCAGUAUAUAUCCUAAAAUUUGAAUGAUACAGAGAAGAUCAGCAUGGCUCCUGUGUAAAAGAUGAUAUGGAAAUUCAUAAAGUGGAUUUUUAUUUAU